ACAGGUGGUGCAUGGUUGUCGUCAGCUCGUGUCGUGAGAUGUUGGGUUAAGUCCCGCAACGAGCGCAACCCUUGUGUUUAGUUUGCAAACAGGUCAAGCUGUGCACUCUAGACAGACUGCCGGUGACAAACCGGAGGAAGGUGGGGAUGACGUCAAGUCAUCAUGGCCCUUACGGCCUGGGCUACACACGUGCUACAAUGGUCGGUACAAAGGGUUGCCAAGCCGCGAGGUGGAGCUAAUCCCAUAAAACCGAUCGUAGUCCGGAUCGCAGUCUGCAACUCGACUGCGUGAAGUCGGAAUCGCUAGUAAUCGUGAAUCAGAAUGUCACGGUGAAUACGUUCCCGGGCCUU
rnacentral:rRNA from 1 species